UCGAGAAUCUUCGGCAAUGGGCGCAAGCCUGACCGAGCGACGCCGCGUGCGGGAUGAAGGCCUUCGGGUUGUAAACCGCUGUCGUAGGGGAGGAAGACCUUGUGAAGAACAAGGUUUGACCGAUCCUAGGAGGAAGGGCCGGCUAAUCUCGUGCCAGCAGCCGCGGUAAUACGAGAGGCCCAAACGUUAUUCGGAAUUACUGGGCUUAAAGAGUUCGUAGGCGGCGCAGAAAGUGGGGUGUGAAAUCCCUCGGCUCAACCGAGGAAUUGCGCUCCAAACUGCUGUGCUUGAGGGACCUAGAGGUGAGCGGAACUGAUGGUGGAGCGGUGAAAUGCGUUGAUAUCAUCAGGAACACCGGAGGCGAAGGCGGCUCACUGGGGGUCUUCUGACGCUGAGGAACGAAAGCCAGGGGAGCGAACGGGAUUAGAUACCCCGGUAGUCC
rnacentral:rRNA from 1 species